rnacentral:rRNA from 1 species
GAUGAACGCUAGCGGGAGGCCUAACACAUGCAAGCCGAGCGGUAUUGUUCUUCGGAACAGAGAGAGCGGCGUACGGGUGCGUAACACGUGUGCAACCUACCUUUAUCAGGGGAAUAGCCUUUCGAAAGGAAGAUUAAUACUCCAUAAUAUAUUGAAUGGCAUCAUUCGAUAUUGAAAACUCCGGUGGAUAAAGAUGGGCACGCGCAAGAUUAGAUAGUUGGUGAGGUAACGGCUCACCAAGUCAAUGAUCUUUAGGGGUCCUGAGAGGGAGAUCCCCCACACUGGUACUGAGACACGGACCAGACUCCUACGGGAGGCAGCAGUGAGGAAUAUUGGACAAUGGGUGAAAGCCUGAUCCAGCCAUCCCGCGUGAAGGAUGACGGUCCUAUGGAUUGUAAACUUCUUUUGUAUAGGGAUAAACCUAGAUACGUGUAUCUAGCUGAAGGUACUAUACGAAUAAGCACCGGCUAACUCCGUG